CCUUACCCUCAGGAGAAGCAAAACUUCGGAAGACACUCAAGAGAAGAAGGAAAGGAGAACUCCUUCGGACGAUGAAGAGGAUAACUUAUUCGCACCCCCCAAGCUGACCGACGAGGACUUCUCGCCAUUUGGCUCUGGAGGUGGCCUGUUCAGUGGGGGCAAGGGGCUCUUUGAUGAUGAGGACGAGGAGAGUGACCUCUUCACGGAAGCCCCCCAGGAUCGGCAAGCUGGAGCCUCUGUUAAGGAGGAGUCUUCAUCAUCCAAACCUGGAAAGAAAAUCCUAGCAGGAGCUGUUUCUGUAUUUUUAGGAGACACGGAUGUGCUGCCUCCGUUCCAUCACUGAAGGAGCCACAGAAGCCUGAGCAGCCCACUCCAAGGAAAAGCCCCUAUGGUCCCCCUCCCACUGGCCUGUUUGAUGAUGAUGAUGGUGAUGAUGAUAACGACUUUUUC
rnacentral:lncRNA from 1 species